GGGUCAGUAGGUUGGUCUUGCCACCGGUACGUACUGGUCUCACUGAUUCCUCCUUCCUGAAGAACCGUAAUGCCAUUAAUUUGGUGUUGCGGGGAAACAGGACUGUUACUUUGAAAAAAUUAGAGUGUUUAAAGCAAGCUAACGCUUGAAUACAUUAGCACGGAAUAAUGAAAUAGGACGAUCGAUCCUAUUUUGUUGGUUUCUAGGAUUGACGUU
rnacentral:rRNA from 1 species